GCAUCUGUGCAUGCAGCAUAUCAAUAAGCGGAGGAAAAGAAACUAACAAGGAUUCCCCUAGUAACGGCGAGUGAAGCGGGAAGAGCUCAAAUUUGAAAUCUUAAAGGGUUUCCCUUUACGAAUUGUAGUUUAAAGAAGUGUUUUCUGUUGAGGUUUUGGUAAAAGUUCUUUGGAAUAGGACAUCAUAGAGGGUGAGAAUCCCGUAUUUGACCUUUACUUUCAACUUUGUGAUACACUUUCAAAGAGUCGGAUUGUUUGGGAAUGCAGUCCAAAAUGGGUGGUAAAUUUCAUCUAAAGCUAAAUAUUGGCGAGAGACCGAUAGCGAACAAGUACCGUGAGGGAAAGAUGAAAAGAACUUUGAAAAGAGAGUUAAACAGUACGUGAAAUUGUCAAAAGGGAAGCGUUUGACACCAGUGUUGUUUUUCUGAAAAUCAAUUAAAGAACUGUUUAUGCUAAGUUGUUUAGACUUUAUCAGCUAACUGUUUAGUUUUGAGCUUUUCUUUAAUGCACUUUUCAGUUAACAAGUCAACACCAAUUUCUUUUGCUGUAAAAAAGCUUGAGGAAGGUGGCUUGAGCUUUUCGGAUAAGUGUUUAUAGCCUUUGCUUCUGCAGUCGGAGAGAUUGAGGUCUGCAGCGUAGAUCCUUCGGGGUUAAGAUACAUUUGUGCUAAGCUAUAAGUUCUUUAUAGACAACUUGUUGACUAUGAUCUAGUCCUGUAGCUUACUCGCUUAUGCUAUUUUACCUACGCUUAGGAUGUUGAAUCUGUGCGAGACUAC
rnacentral:rRNA from 1 species